rnacentral:rRNA from 1 species
UAACCUACUAAAUAGUCACGCAAUUUUCGAAUUGCGGAUGUACUUCUUAGAGGGACUGUGGUGCUAAGCCAACGGAAGUUUGAGGCAAUAACGGGUCUGUGAUGCCCUUAGACGUUCUGGGCCGCACGCGCGCUACACUGAUGAAGUCAACAAGCAUUCCUUGACCGAAAGGUCCGGGUAAUCUUUUGAAAUUUCAUCGUGCUGGGGAUAGAUCCUUGCAAUUUUUGAUCUUAAACGAGGAAUUCCUAGUAAGCGCAUGUCAUCAGCAUGCGUUGAUUACGUCCCUGCCCUUUGUACACACCGCCCGUCGC